rnacentral:rRNA from 1 species
AUUGAACGCUGGCGGCAUGUUUUACACAUGCAAGUCGAACGGCAGCACGGGAGCAAUCCUGGUGGCGAGUGGCGAACGGGUGAGUAAUAUAUCGGAACGUGCCCGGUCGUGGGGGAUAACGUAGCGAAAGCUACGCUAAUACCGCAUACGAUCUACGGAUGAAAGCGGGGGAUCGCAAGACCUCGCGCGAUUGGAGCGGCCGAUAUCAGAUUAGGUAGUUGGUGAGGUAAAGGCUCACCAAGCCGACGAUCUGUAGCUGGUCUGAGAGGACGACCAGCCACACUGGGACUGAGACACGGCCCAGACUCCUACGGGAGGCAGCAGUGGGGAAUUUUGGACAAUGGGCGCAAGCCUGAUCCAGCAAUGCCGCGUGCAGGAUGAAGGCCUUCGGUU